ACUCCUACGGGAGGCAGCAGUGGGGAAUUUUGCGCAAUGGGGGAAACCCUGACGCAGCAACGCCGCGUGAGUGAUGAAGGCCUUCGGGUCGUAAAGCUCUGUCAGAGGGAAAGAAAUGUGGGGCGCUAAUACCGCUACCACUUGACGGUACCCUCAAAGGAAGCACCGGCUAACUCCGUGCCAGCAGCCGCGGUAAUACGGAGGGUGCGAGCGUUGUUCGGAAUUAUUGGGCGUAAAGCGCGUGUAGGCGGUUUCAUAAGUCUGAUGUGAAAGCCCCGGGCUCAACCUGGGAAGUGCAUUGGAUACUGUGAGACUUGAGUACGGGAGAGGGCAGUGGAAUUCCUAGUGUAGGAGUGAAAUCCGUAGAUAUUAGGAGGAACACCGGUGGCGAAGGCGGCUGCCUGGACCGAUACUGACGCUGAGACGCGAAGGCGUGGGGAGCAAACAGGAUUAGAUACCCUGGUAGUCCACGCCGUAAACGAUGAGAACUAGGUGUCGCGGGUA
rnacentral:rRNA from 1 species